rnacentral:lncRNA from 1 species
CACACAGGCACGAUGGCCUGAGAGUGCCGUGUGCGCGUGCGUGAGUGGGGACCGGCGGAAGGAGCGGGAGGAGUUCCAGGAUACCGCCAGGGGGCGCCGCGGUCUUUCUUGCCGAGUUCCCGGGGCGGGGAAGGCGGGGUGGCUGGCUGUCGAGGGGAGGUCUUUAGAUAGCUUGUUGACAGAGGGAAGGCUGUUGACCGCUUUGGACUGGAACAUAAGGGGAGCAGCCCCCAGCCCCCUGGCCCAUGUUCUAUGGACCCCAAGCAGCACCUAGGAACUCUAGUAUCAUUGGCAAGGGACGUCUCUGUGCCUCAGUUUCCCCCUCAAGAUCACAGACUCUGCAGGCCCUCACCCGAGGCCAUUCGGUCCCUCCUCCUGUCCCCGAGCCAAGCAGCCCCUUCCCUGGUGCUGUCACUUGAGAUGCUCCUCUUUGUCUUUCGAAGGAAGACCCUCAAGUCUAACUUCCAUCCAUCCUGCUGCUAGACCUGUUCUGGAACUUAGCCUCCUCCGUGGGGUGGGGAUGGGGGCCCAGAGGGACCCAGGGGCCUGUGCCCAAGCCUGAGUCCUCUCGGGUUUCCUGGGCUGGGGUAGGCUUGGUCCCCAUUCCCUCCCCUUUCCAUGGGCAGCUCCGGAGGGCACAUUCCAGCUGAAAUUAAAUCACAUUCCUCCUUCUCUGCCUGACAAGGAUGGCAUUGCUGACAGCAGCUGCGACACCACAGGGUCAAGUGGCAGCAGCUGGUCCCCCAGGGAGGGGCUGAGAAGCGGGGAGCUGCGGGGAGCUGAGGGACCAGGGCCUUUGGAAGCAAUGAAUGAACUCUGAGUCUUUGAUUUCAAGAGGCCUCCCACCCUGCAGUGGGAGGGGUAAAGGUUAGACCACAGGGUGCCAGAGCUGCCUGGAGCCUCGGGGAAUGAUCUGGUCCACCCAGGACUGUACAGACAGAAAACCAAGGCCCCCAGCAUCACCUUCUGAGAGGACCCCAGAAGGACACCCUCUCCCUCACCCUGGACUGGCUCCCACAUCAGACAGGAGGCUGAGGGGGCCCUUUAAGAGGCCACUCUGAGCUCUCUUGGCCGGAGCCCAAAGCUGAGGACUUUGAUUUCCUCGGCGACUCUGGCAGCCGGCGGUGGCAGCAGGGACAGCAUCAGGCUGGCUGAAUGGAGAGCGCAGCCCCUGACCUCACCCUCCGAGGCGCCUCAGCCUGCGCGGCCUUAUAAGGAAGUGCCCCAAACAAACCGAGGAAGCCACCUCCGGCCCCCCACCCUGCUCAGAGGCUAUAUUUACCCAGAGGAGGCCCCAGAAUAACCUCCCACUUGUCCUCGUGCUGGGGGGCGAGGGGGGGGACCAGGGGGGGAGGCAGGCGGCUGGUUCUGCCUCCUCAUUCCCUCCUCUGGGGACUCCACCCUCCAAAGUGCUUCCUGUUGUCCGAGCUCAUCAUAGUUGUUCCUUCACUCAUUUGUUCAUUUAUCCAUUUGUUCAUUUAUCCACUACGUGUUCACUGAGCACCCUCAGGCCCCCAGGCGCUGUGCUGGACAAAGGCUUUGCCUUCCUGGAGCUUCUACAACGACAGGGUCUUCCCAGGCGCCACAGUGCUCUGGGCCUCCUACCCUCUGGCCACUCCUUGUGGCUCCUCUCUGCAGGAGUCCCCUGGGAGCUGCGUCCUGGGGUCACUCUGGGUGACCUCUAGACCCACGACCCUCCAAUUCUUGUCCUAACCUGGUCCUCUUUCCUGAGCUCCACGUAGCCACCCUCCCCCAGGGCAGCUCCUCUUGGAGGUCACCAUUUCCUACCGGAUUCUCCAGCUCAGAGGAUGGGACCACCUUCUCCCAGCUGCCCAGGCUAAACACCUGGGAGCCUCUGCUGCCGCAUCCCCCUCCGUCUCCCACGAUGGCUCACCGAGUCCCGAGACUCUGCUUCCCUUGCAUCUCUCCUCUCAUCCCCUCUGCCGCCAUCAGCCCCUGCGCGGACCGCUGCGGUACCCCCCUGAAGCUCUCCGGCCCAUCCAGUCCAUUCGCACACAGCAGCCUGGAGGUUUUAUUUAAAGGGCAAACCUGGUUAUGUCACCUCACUACUUAAAACCCUUCAGAGUCUCCUCAUAUCCCUUAGGAAGGAGUUCGUAUUUCCUGGCUGCCUGGCGAGGCCUCUGCCCACUGACCCCUGACCUCCUCUUUAGUCUCACUAUGAACCUUCUCCACCCUCAUUCUCCACCUUUGGGCUACACAAAGCUUUUUUCUGCUCCUCAAGUGCCCAAGCUCUCUCUUCUUGCCCCAGGAUUUUGCACAUGCUGUUCCCUCUGACUAGAAUCCUUUUCCUCGCCCUCUGCCCUCCUCAUCCCCACACUGGGGGGCUCUUGCUCCUCUUUCAGGUUCUCAGGGCAGCCUUCCCUGACUCCCUCCUCUCCUACUCCUCCAGCCCAGAUCAGGUGAGUUCCCCUGCCCUAUGCUCCCAUGACCUCCCACGCUUCUCUGUUUUCAGGUAUGGCUUCCACUCUGAAGCUCUUGUUCAGUUACAAGGUAAAGCUCCCUGAGCAGGGAAUCCUGGACCUCCAGCGCCGGCGUAGCACAUGGCACACAAUAGCCGCUCAAUAAAUAUUUGUUGAAAAAUGAC